UCAGUAGGGGGUCUGAGAGGACGAUCAGCCACACUGGGACUGAGACACGGCCCAGACUCCUACGGGAGGCAGCAGUAAGGGAUAUUGCGCAAUGGGCGAAAGCCUGACGCAGCAACACCGCGUGGAGGAUGAAGGCCUUCGGGUCGUAAACUCGUUUUGACGCUGACGAGGAAGGACGGUAGGCGUCGAAGAAGUCACGGCUAACUACGUGCCAGCAGCCGCGGUAAAACGUAGGUGGCGAGCGUUAUCCGGAUUUACUGGGCGUAAAGGGUGUGCAGGCGGGCCAUUAAGUGGUGUAUGAAAUAUCCCGGCUCAACCGGGAGAGGUUAUGCCAGACUGGUGGUCUAGAGAGCGAGAGAGGGACGUGGAAUUCCGGGUGUAGUGGUGAAAUGCGUAGAGAUCCGGAGGAACCCCAGAGGCGAAGGCGGCGUCCUGGCUCGCAUCUGACGCUCAGACACGACAGCAUGGGGAGCGAACGGGAUUAGAAACCCCGGUAGUCCAUGCCGUAAACGAUGCCAACUAGGCGCUGGCGGUCUCAACCCCGUCGGUGCCGCAGUUAACACGAUAAGUUGGCCGCCUGGGGAGUACGGUCGCAAGGCUAAAACUCAAAGGAAUUGACG
rnacentral:rRNA from 1 species